rnacentral:lncRNA from 1 species
AGGCCCAAUGCAAAGCAUAUGGAUUGAAAGUUGGGAAGAGUUACAGUUACUUGAAUAAAGAGAAGUUGGAUUCUUAGAACUGAAAAUAUCCACAAUGCUAAGAUCAUUUUUUUAUCUAUUCGAGCUAAUUCAGCAUUUUAAAAAUGGGAAUAGGAACUUUAUCUAUAUUUACCAGCUUCAACCCAAGGGGAGUAUGGAAAGACCUCUGAUAUUCCCCCCAGGUCACUUGCUGGCUUUGUGAUCUUGGGUAGAUCACAAUCUCUGAUUCUUGUUCUUCCCAGCUGCAAAAUGGGGAUAAUAUUGUCUCCCUAUCCGUAUCACAGAUGGUUAUGAAGAUUCAAAAAGAGAAGGGGUUUCACCGUAGUCUUGAUCUCCUGACCUCGUGAACCGCCCGCCUCAGCCUCCCAAAGUGCUGGGAUUACAAGCAUGAGCCACUGCGCCCGGCCUGGAAAACUUUCAAUGAUCACCCAAGACCAUACUAUCUGAAUACAGUGCAUUAAAGGAGGUGUAGAGACUGAAGAUCUGCAUUAAGCUGCAAGUACUUCAUCCCAAGUCCGUGUUCC